CCCCAGAUGUUGCUGAACUACAACUCCCAUGAUUCUCUGGCUAUCUAUGUAAUCAUGGGAGUUGUAGUUCAGCAACAUCUGGGG